AACUCCUUCUGGGGGUUCCACCACCCCUCCGGCGGCUGGUUCGCCUAAAGGAUCAUCUACACCUAGUACACCAUCACCUAUGGGGGCACCACCAUCUCCUUCUGCAGGUAAGCAGGUUCAGAAUUUAAAUUUGAUAGGUUUAAUUGUUAGGUUUUUUGGCUUUUUUUACGUUUUUGGCAUUGUUUUUUUAAAUUAUUGAAAUUUUAAUAAUUUUUCGCGUGUAUACUACUAUGCAGGUUCUACUACCCCACCACCCACAACUUCAGCACCUUCUGCCACCACUCCGGCAGGUGCUCCGGCUAAAGGAUCAACCACGCCCGGUACAUCAUCACCCAAUGGGGCACCGGUAGUAUCUCCGCCAGCAGGUAAAUGGAGGUGGAUGUAGAAUUAAAUUUAGUAUAUUUGUUAGGGAAUUUAGUAAUUUUAUAUAUGUGCUCGUAAAAUAAGUUUUAGUUAUAUAAAUAUAUACUACAUUCGCC
rnacentral:lncRNA from 1 species